UCUGGUUGAUCCUGCCAGUAGUUAUAUGCUUGUCUCAAAGAUUAAGCCAUGCAUCUCUAAGUACACACGAAUUAACAGUGAAACCGCAAAAGGCUCAUUAUAUCAGUUAUGGUUCCUUAGAUCGUUAACAGUUACUUGGAUAACUGUGGUAAUUCUAGAGCUAAUACAUGCAAUUAAAACACGGACCUUUUGGAACGUGUGCUUUUAUUAGGCUAAAACCAAGCGAUCGCAAGAUCGUUUUAUUGGUUGAACUCUAGAUAACAUGCAGAUCUUAUGGUCUUGUACCGACGACAGAUCUUUCAAAUGUCUGCCCUAUCAACUUUUGAUGGUAGUAUCUAGGACUACCAUGGUUGCAACGGGUAACGGGGAAUCAGGGUUCGAUUCCGGAGAGGGAGCCUGAGAAACGGCUACCACAUCUAAGGAAGGCAGCAGGCGCGUAAAUUACCCACUCCCAGCUCGGGGAGGUAGUGACGAAAAAUAACAAUACAGGACUCAUAUCCGAGGCCCUGUAAUUGGAAUGAGUGCACUUUAAAUCCUUUAACAAGGACCUAUUGGAGGGCAAGUCUGGUGCCAGCAGCCGCGGUAAUUCCAGCUCCAAUAGCGUAUAUUAAAGUUGUUGCGGUUAAAACGUUCGUAGUUGAACUUGUGCUUCAUACGGGUAGUACAACUUACAAUUGUAGUUAGUACUAUACCUUUAUGUAUGUAAGCGUAUUACCGGUGGAGUUCUUAUAUUUAAUUCAAUACUUGUAUUUUUUUAUAUAUUCCUCUUGCUCUUCAUCGAGUGUUAUUGUGGGCCGGUACAAUUACUUUGAACAAAUUAGAGUGCUUAAAGCAGGCUUCAAAUGCCUGAAUAUUCUGUGCAUGGGAUAAUGAAAUAAGACCUCUGUUCUGCUUUCAUUGGUUUUCAGAUCAAGAGGUCAUCAUUAAUAGAAGCAGUUUGGGGCAUUAGUAUUACGACGCGAGAGGUGAAAUUCUUGGACCGUCGUAAGACUAACUUAAGCGAAAGUUAGAGGUUCGAAGGCGAUCAGAUACCGCCCUAGUUCUAACCAUAAACGAUGCCAGCUAGCAAUUGGGUGUAGCUACUUUUAUGGCUCUCUCAGUCGCUUCCCGGGAAACCAAAGCUUUUGGGCUCCGGGGGAAGUAUGGUUGCAAAGCUGAAACUUAAAGGAAUUGUCGGAAGGGCACCACCAGGAGUGGAGCCUGCGGCUUAAUUUGACUCAACACGGGAAAACUUACCAGGUCCGAACAUAAGUGUGUAAGACAGAUUGAUAGCUCUUUCUGGAAGCUAUGGCUCGUGGUGCAUGGCCGUUCUUAGUUCGUGGAGUGAUUUGUCUGGUUAAUUCCGAUAACGAACGAGACUCAAAUAUAUUAAAAAGAUAUCUUCAGGAUUAUGGUGUUGAAGCUUAUAUAGCCUUCAUUCAUAGUGGCAGUAAAAUGUUUAUUGUGUUUGAAUGUGUUUAUAUAAGUGGAGCCGUACCUGUUGGUUUGUCCCAUUAUAAGGACACUAGCUUCUUAAAUGGACAAAUUGCGACUAGCAAUAAUGAGAUUGAGCAAUAACAGGUCUGUGAUGCCCUUAGAUGUCCCACUUUCAUGCUUGGGAUUGUGAACUGAAACUGUUCACAUAAACUUGGAAUUCCCAGUAAGUGUGAGUCAUUAACUCGCAUUGAUUACGUCCCUGCCCUUUGUACACACCGCCCGUCGCUACUACCGAUUGAAUUAUUUAGUGAGGUCUCCGGACGUGAUCACUGUGACGCCUUGUGUGUUGCGGUUGUUUCGCAAAAGUUGACCGAACUUGAUUAUUUAGAGGAAGUAAAAGUCGUAACAAGGUUUCCGUAGGUGAACCUGCGGAAG
rnacentral:rRNA from 1 species